GUGUCAGCCGCCGCGGUAAAACGUAGGAGGCGAGCGUUAUCCGGAUUCACUGGGCGUAAAGCGCGUGCAGGUGGCUUGGUAAGUUAGGCGUGAAAUCUCCCGGCUCAACUGGGAGAGGUCGUCUAAUACUACCGGGCUUGAGAGCAGAAGAGGAAGAUGGAAUUCCCGGUGUAGUGGUGAAAUGCGUAGAUAUCGGGAGGAACACCAGUGGCGAAGGCGAUCUUCUGGUCUGUUUCUGACACUCAGACGCGACAGCUAGGGUAGUAAACGGGAUUAGAAACCCUCGUAGUCC
rnacentral:rRNA from 1 species